GAUGAAGAACGCAGCGAAAUGCGAUAAGUAAUGUGAAUUGCAGAAUUCAGUGAAUCAUCGAAUCUUUGAACGCACAUUGCGCCCGCCAGUAUUCUGGCGGGCAUGCCUGUUCGAGCGUCAUUACAACCCUCAGGCCCCCGGGCCUUGCGUUGGGGAUCGGCGGAGCCCCCCGUGGGCACACGCCGUCCCCCAAAUGCAGUGGCGGUCCCGCCGCAGCUUCCAUCGCGUAGUAGCUAACACCUCGCGACUGGAGAGCGGCGCGGCCACGCCGUAAAACACCCAACUCUUCUGAAGUUGACCUCGAAUCAGGUAGGAAUACCCGCUGAACUUAAGCAUAUCAAUAAGCGGAGGA
rnacentral:misc_RNA from 1 species